rnacentral:rRNA from 1 species
AUUGAACGCUGGCGGCAGGCCUAACACAUGCAAGUCGAACGAGUGGCGGACGGGUGAGUAAUGUCUGGGAAACUGCCCGAUGGAGGGGGGUAACUACUGGAAACGGUAGCUAAUACCGCAUACCAUCGGAUGUGCGCAGAUGGGAGUAGCUUGUAGGUGGGGUAACGGCUCACCUAGGCGACGAUCCCUAGCUGGUCUGAGAGGAUGACCAGCCACACUGGAACGGAGAAACGGUCAAGACUCCGACGGGAGGCAGAAGUGGGGAAUAUUGCACAAUGGGCGCAAGCCUGAUGAAGCCAUGCCGCGUGUAUGAAGAAGGCCUUCGGGUUGUAAAGUACUUUCAGCGAGGAGGCGUUACUCGCAGAAGAAGCACCGGCUAACUCCGUGCCAGCAGCCGCGGUAAUAC